AUCUACGAGUCCCAAAUAGGACGAAACGCGCGUCCUGGAU
rfam:Schistosoma rodhaini strain Burundi genome assembly, scaffold: SROB_scaffold0000167